rnacentral:rRNA from 1 species
CGUGUAGGCGGUGCGGUAAGUUGGGCGUGAAAUCCUCGGGCUUAACCCGAGGGGGCCGUUCAAGACUGCCGUGCUAGGGUGCGGGAGAGGGAAGUGGAAUUCCCGGUGUAGCGGUGAAAUGCGUAGAGAUCGGGAGGAACACCUGCGGCGAAGGCGGCUUCCUGGACCGUAACCGACGCUGAGGCGCGAAAGCUAGGGGAGCAAACAGGAUUAGAUACCCUGGUAGUCCUAGCCCUAAACGAUGAGCACUGGGUGUGGUCCCUCGACGGGGCCGUGCCGAAGCUAACGCAUUAAGUGCUCCGCCUGGGGAGUACGGUCGCAAGGCUGAA